CCCGCCAUAGAUGGAGGCGGUUUUAGCCUUGAGAGUUUUGCGUAAGCAAAACUCUGAGCUGAAAAAGGUACAAGGAUGAACCUUUUUCAUCGGCC
rnacentral:sRNA from 1 species